rnacentral:lncRNA from 1 species
AUGGGGAAGACGCGUGCGCUCCUCCUUGCUCUCCGCCAAAUUUGUUUUCCCCUGAUGGUUAGAGUAUUCAAGAUCGAUCCCCCGACAAACUCUCCUCUGAUAAAUACUUGCGGACAUCAACGAAGUAAUUGUGUUCGGCGGCGCACCGUGGCGAAGGUAGUCGACACCAACCUCUUCAGCGUACCCUACGAACGGCGAAUUCAGCAACAAAACAGAUCAGUUCUCUCCUGCAGGUUCCAGUAUGCCAAGGCCAUGUUUGAACGGAAUCAGAAGUAUCGCCUUGCAAAGUAUGUACCAGACUCUCAUGCUGAAGGUUUCAAGGACGGCAAGAAAGUUCAAGGAUUAUGUACCAGGAUUGCAAAUCAAUGAGGCACUAAAGAUGCAAAUGGAAGUUCAGAAGCGGCUACACGAGCAACUGGAGGUAUUUGAAAGUAUUUGAGAUAAAUAAUGAUGCUAAAAUGAAAAGGACAAUGCGACGUCCCCUGCCAUCUGGUCGUGUUAGUUCUACACAUGCUGCCAUGUGGGCUACCUUGUGGGUGAUCGGCCAAGACCACCAACUGAAGAAAUUUUUGAUUGACUGUGGAUCCUUUCUGUCCAUGGGAGCUGCUGCAAUUUUCUCACCUUGUCUUACAUAGUGCCGGUCCUGUAUGAGGUCACCCUCAGAUGAACUUCAGUGAUUGCUCCCAGGCGCGGCAUGCAUGCUUUGCUUUAUUCACAGGAUCUUUGCAUCAUACAAUUCCAUGUGGGGAUUUCAGCUCUCUUUAAUUUCUUAGGGAGUUUUUUUUGUAGACUAUUGAUUAAGAGAAAACCAAUGAUCAGGUCUCCAUAACCUAACAUGAUUAUGCGUUGGGAGAGCCCAUCAUUUAUCAUGAUUCAAGUGCUGACCGGCACUUGAGACAUUGUUAAUAAGCUGGUGAUUGUUAGCACCUUCAUAAUUCGCAUGCACUUAUUAGCGGUCAAA